rnacentral:misc_RNA from 1 species
AUUACAAAUAACUAGAUCAGUCUGUUUCCAGCCUUGCUAUGUACUUGUCAUAAUGGUAGGCAGCUUUCUCAAGAUCGCCUAGUUCAGUGUAGCAAUCAGCAAUUGCUCCAAAUGCUUCAGUGUUUCCUGAUUGUUCUCCUUCUCGUUCAGAGAUUGCCAAUACCAUUGAAUGGUAUUUGAUUGCUUCUCGGUAUUUUCCCUGCCUCUGCAGUGAAGCCCCUAAACCCCUUGCAGCCUUCUUCUCCUCAAUCGGAUCCUGUAGAACCUGAGCAAGCUCAAGAGCAGUCUUGAACUCCACAAAUGCCUUCUCUGGGUCUUGAUUUCUCAAAAAGUUCUUUCCAGACUUCAAUCUAGAGAUUAACUCCUCCUUCCUCGGAUCAACAAUAACUUCAUUCUCGAGUAUUCUUCCACCAACAGGAGCAUAACUUAAGGUGGGAGCAUAAGACUCAAUCUUUGCUUGCCUUCUUAGUGCUGCAUUAAUCUGGCGAAGUUGUUCAUUUAACCGCUUCAAUUCUCCUCUUCUUUGCCGAGCAAGCAACCCUCCAACAGUGGCCCCUACAAGGGCGACAGAAAGAAGUAUUGGCAUGUUGAAAGCAGAACUCUCAGCCUCGCAUGUUUCAGCCAUAGCUUUCAAUGGUAUGGAAAAUGUAAAUGCAUUAGCCAAGAGAAACGCCAUAACUGGAAGUCUUGUCUCAAUAUUUCCCUGACAUUUUAAAACGGGCAACGAAUUCUGUAUUCCAAGUGGUCUGACGAUGCUAUCCCCCCAAAAUGUAACAAAAUUGUCCACAUUAAGUGAAAAAUGAGGCAUUUUCCCGGAAACAUGGAGCUUCCUGGAUAACUGAUCGGAGGGAGGAGAUCGCGGGGAAUUG